rnacentral:rRNA from 1 species
GAUGAACGCUGGCGGCGUGCCUAAUACAUGCAAGUCGAGCGAACGGACGAGAAGCUUGCUUCUCUGAUGUUAGCGGCGGACGGGUGAGUAACACGUGGAUAACCUACCUAUAAGACUGGGAUAACUUCGGGAAACCGGAGCUAAUACCGGAUGAUAUUUUGAACCGCAUGGGUCAAAAGUGAAAGACGGUUUUGCUGUGACUUCUAGAUGGAUCCGCGCUGCAUUAGUUAGUUGGUAAGGUAACGGCUUACCAAGGCAACGAUGCAUAGCCGACCUGAGAGGGUGAUCGGCCACACUGGAGCUGAGACACGGUCCAGACUCCUACGGGAGGCAGCAGUAGGGAAUCUUCCGCAAUGGGCGAAAGCCUGACGGAGCAACGCCGCGUGAGUGAUGAAGGUCUUCGGAUCGUAAAACUCUGUUAUUAGGGAAGAACAUAUGUGUAAGUAACUGUGCACAUCUUGACGGUACCUAAUCAGAAAGCCACGGCUAACUACGUG